UACUUCUGGUCUCAUCUUUUCCCCCUCCCCUGCAGGAACUCGGUACUUGGGGGAAAAAAAUGAAAUGAAUGAAUCAUCUCUCCCUUCUCCUCCAACCAACCAACAAAUUAAUGGACCACCAUCAACAAAAGGUUCCAUUGAAGAUUUGAUGAAGGCAAAGAAGCUGCAACACCUUUCAGACCUUUGGGCUCACACCAUGAAUACCUCUGAUCUUGAAGACAAACGACAAUUUGGGUUCAGCAGGUACAUAGAAGUUGCCAGCUUUUCUUGCCAUCCUCGUCCUUCAAAUUUCAGUUCUGUACAUCUGCCUAUAUUCCUUGUGAUAGUGCUUCGCUUUUUCUUAGAUAAGCUUCCUCCUUUUGCCUUUUGAAGCGUCUUUUGGGUAAACUUCUUUCUCAGGUGCUUGAUCUUCCUCUC
rnacentral:lncRNA from 1 species